UCCAUUGCUAUUUCUGGAGAGGACCUCAGU
rnacentral:piRNA from 1 species